rnacentral:rRNA from 1 species
CCUGGUUGAUCCUGCCAGUAGUCAUAUGCUUGUCUCAAAGAUUAAGCCAUGCAUGUGUAAGCACACACUGUUUUAAAAGUGAAGCCGCGAAUGGCUCAUUACAACAGCCACAGUUUAUUAGAACUUACAAUCAUGGAUAACUGUGGUAAUUCUAGAGCUAAUACACGCACAAAAACUUCAACUGAAUUGGUUGAAGUGCUUUUAUUAGAACAAAAACCGAACGGCGUUUGGCGAAUGUUGAACGUCGAAACUGUUUGGUGAAUCUGAAUAACUAUUUCUGAUCGCAUGGUCUAGCACCGGCGACAUCACUUUCAAGUGUCUGCCUUAUCAACCUUCGAUGGUAGUCUAUGCGACUACCAUGGUGAUAACGGGUAACGGAGAAUCAGGGUUCGACUCCGGAGAGGGAGCCUGAGAAACGGCUACCACAUCCAAGGAAGGCAGCAGGCGCGCAAAUUACCCAGAAAAAUAACGAGACGAUUCUCGUUUGAGAAACGUUAUCGAAAUGAGUACGCUUUACACACGCUAACGAGUAGCAAUUGGAGGGCAAGUCUGGUGCCAGCAGCCGCGGUAAUUCCAGCUCCAAUAGCGUAUAUUAAAGUUGCUGCGGUUAAAACGCUCGUAGUUGAAUUGUGGUCUUAGACAACAGUCCCCCUACAUAGGUGUGGCACGGUUGCUCGAGAUCUUCAUUCGUGGUUGCUGUUGUUGCUCUUCAUUGAGUGUCAAUGGUGCCUCGAGAUUUUACUUUGAAAAAAUUAGAGUGCUCAAAGCAGGUUGUGAUGCCUGAAUAAUGGUGCAUGGAAUAAUAGAAUACGAUCUCGGUUCUAUUUUGUUGGUUUUCGAACCGGAGAUAAUGAUUGAAAGGAACAGACGGGGGCAUUCGUAUUGCUGCGUUAGAGGUGAAAUUCUUGGAUCGCAGCAAGAUGAACAAUUGCGAAAGCAUUUGCCAAGAAUGUUUUCAUUAAUCAAGAACGAAAGUUAGAGGUUCGAAGGCGAUCAGAUACCGCCCUAGUUCUAACGGUAAACUAUGCCAACCAGCGAUUCGCCGAAGUUCAUUUAAGACUCGGCGAGCAGCUUCCGGGAAACCAAAGUGUUUCGGUUCCGGGGGAAGUAUGGUUGCAAAGCUGAAACUUAAAGGAAUUGACGGAAGGGCACCACCAGGAGUGGAGCCUGCGGCUUAAUUUGACUCAACACGGGAAAACUCACCCGGCCCGGACACUGGAAGGAUUGACAGAUUGACAGCUCUUUCUUGAUUCAGUGGGUAGUGGUGCAUGGCCGUUCUUAGUUGGUGGAGCGAUUUGUCUGGUUAAUUCCGAUAACGAACGAGACUCUACCCUAUUAAAUAGUGACAGUAUUGUAUUUUUUGUGCUGAUCACUUCUUAGAGGGACUGGCAAAUUGAAAGCUGCACGAAAAAGAGCAAUAACAGGUCUGUGAUGCCCUUCGAUGUCCGGGGCUGCACGCGCGCUACAAUGAAAGCGUCAACGUGAGUUACGUCCUUACCUGAAAAGGUUUGGCAAUCGAAUGAAACGUUUUCUUGAAUGGAAUAGGGAAUUGCAAUUGUUUCCCUUGAACGAGGAAUUCCCAGUAAGCGUGAGUCAUUAGCUCGCGUUGAUUACGUCCCUGCCCUUUGUACACACCGCCCGUCGCUACUACCGAUUGGAUGAUUUAGUGAGGUGUUUUGACUGGCGCCAGUAGUCGGAUGUAUUCGGCUUCGCGCCGGGAAAUUUCCCAAACCAAAUCAUCUAGAGGAAGUAAAAGUCGUAACAAGGUUUCCGUAGGUGAACCUGCGGAAG